GUCCUUUUGUAAUUCAUAAGCACGAUGAUUGGGUUUUCGUGUUCAUGUGAGUCAUGCCUCCCUCAAACCUUGUUAGGAUGUUUGAGAAAAAAUAUGAGU